rnacentral:lncRNA from 1 species
ACCCUUUUAUAGGUGGCUGGCCAGGCCACUUUCGGGGGCCUAACGUGCCUCCGCAUGCAUGCCAUGUUCGGCGGCCGAACAUAAGGUUCGGCGGCCGAACCUGGACUUCCGUCACUUAUGCCUUCGGGGGCCUAAAGCACUCCCGAAGUGCAUGCAUGUUCGGCGGCCGAACCUGAGUCUUCCUCUCAAGACUAUUUUCAUUCAAAACUUAAUUUCUUUCUUGCUUAAAACCAUAAAAUACAUUAAAACAUUUUAUGAAAAC